CGCCAGGACAGCCUGUGGCGUGAUGAGGCCGCCACCUGGCAGGUGGCCCACCGCGGUCUCCCCGGGAUCUGGCGUC
rnacentral:tRNA from 1 species